rnacentral:rRNA from 1 species
AUUUUAUUUCUAGUGAUUGGAAUGAUGGGAAUUUAAACCCCUUUCAGAGUAACAAUUGGAGGGCAAGUCUGGUGCCAGCAGCCGCGGUAAUUCCAGCUCCAAUAGCGUAUAUUAAAGUUGUUGCAGUUAAAAAGCUCGUAGUUGGAUAUCUGCUGGAAGCAAUCAGUCCGCCCUAUUUGUAGGGUGUGCACUUGAUGAAUUCUGGCAUCUAUUAUGUCCCGAUAGUAAUUCGGAGAAGGGCUAUUGAACGAAAGUUCAGUAACUUGGGUCCCCGAUUUUUUUAUUGGGAAAAUACUGUUACUUUGAAAAAAUUAAAGGGUUUGAAGCAGGGUAAUUGCCUUGAAUACUGCAGCAUGGAAUAACAAUAUAGGAUUUCGGUUCUUUUUUGUUGGUUUCUAGGACUGAAAUAAUGAUUAAAAGGGACAGUUGGGGGCAUUCCUAUUUAACUGUCAAAGGGGAAAUUCUUAAAUUUGUUAAAAACAAACUACUGCCAAAGCAUUUGCCAAAAAUGUUUUCAUUAAUCAAAAACGAAAGUUAGGGGCUCGAAAACCAUCAAAUACCGUCCUAAUCUUAACCAUAAACUAUGCCGACUAGAGAUAGGAAAAUGUCAUUUUGCUGACUUCUCCUGCACC